AUUAAAGUGGCAGAUUAGUGCAAAGAAUUUAAGCUUCUUAUAUGUUAAGAACCUUUAAUA
rnacentral:tRNA from 1 species